GGUUAAGCGACUAAGCGUACACGGUGGAUGCCCUGGCAGUCAGAGGCGAUGAAGGACGUGCUAAUCUGCGAUAAGCGUCGGUAAGGUGAUAUGAACCGUUAUAACCGGCGAUUUCCGAAUGGGGAAACCCAGUGUGAUUCGUCACACUAUCAUUAACUGAAUCCAUAGGUUAAUGAGGCGAACCGGGGGAACUGAAACAUCUAAGUACCCCGAGGAAAAGAAAUCAACCGAGAUUCCCCCAGUAGCGGCGAGCGAACGGGGAGCAGCCCAGAGCCUGAAUCAGUGUGUGUGUUAGUGGAAGCGUCUGGAAAGGCGUGCGAUACAGGGUGACAGCCCCGUACACAAAAAUGCACAUACUGUGAGCUCGAUGAGUAGGGCGGGACACGUGGUAUCCUGUCUGAAUAUGGGGGGACCAUCCUCCAAGGCUAAAUACUCCUGACUGACCGAUAGUGAACCAGUACCGUGAGGGAAAGGCGAAAAGAACCCCGGCGAGGGGAGUGAAAAAGAACCUGAAACCGUGUACGUACAAGCAGUGGGAGCACGCUUAGGCGUGUGACUGCGUACCUUUUGUAUAAUGGGUCAGCGACUUAUAUUCUGUAGCAAGGUUAACCGAAUAGGGGAGCCGAAGGGAAACCGAGUCUUAACUGGGCGUUAAGUUGCAGGGUAUAGACCCGAAACCCGGUGAUCUAGCCAUGGGCAGGUUGAAGGUUGGGUAACACUAACUGGAGGACCGAACCGACUAAUGUUGAAAAAUUAGCGGAUGACUUGUGGCUGGGGGUGAAAGGCCAAUCAAACCGGGAGAUAGCUGGUUCUCCCCGAAAGCUAUUUAGGUAGCGCCUCGUGAAUUCAUCUCCGGGGGUAGAGCACUGUUUCGGCAAGGGGGUCAUCCCGACUUACCAACCCGAUGCAAACUGCGAAUACCGGAGAAUGUUAUCACGGGAGACACACGGCGGGUGCUAACGUCCGUCGUGAAGAGGGAAACAACCCAGACCGCCAGCUAAGGUCCCAAAGUCAUGGUUAAGUGGGAAACGAUGUGGGAAGGCCCAGACAGCCAGGAUGUUGGCUUAGAAGCAGCCAUCAUUUAAAGAAAGCGUAAUAGCUCACUGGUCGAGUCGGCCUGCGCGGAAGAUGUAACGGGGCUAAACCAUGCACCGAAGCUGCGGCAGCGACACUAUGUGUUGUUGGGUAGGGGAGCGUUCUGUAAGCCUGUGAAGGUGUACUGUGAGGUAUGCUGGAGGUAUCAGAAGUGCGAAUGCUGACAUAAGUAACGAUAAAGCGGGUGAAAAGCCCGCUCGCCGGAAGACCAAGGGUUCCUGUCCAACGUUAAUCGGGGCAGGGUGAGUCGACCCCUAAGGCGAGGCCGAAAGGCGUAGUCGAUGGGAAACAGGUUAAUAUUCCUGUACUUGGUGUUACUGCGAAGGGGGGACGGAGAAGGCUAUGUUGGCCGGGCGACGGUUGUCCCGGUUUAAGCGUGUAGGCUGGUUUUCCAGGCAAAUCCGGAAAAUCAAGGCUGAGGCGUGAUGACGAGGCACUACGGUGCUGAAGCAACAAAUGCCCUGCUUCCAGGAAAAGCCUCUAAGCAUCAGGUAACAUCAAAUCGUACCCCAAACCGACACAGGUGGUCAGGUAGAGAAUACCAAGGCGCUUGAGAGAACUCGGGUGAAGGAACUAGGCAAAAUGGUGCCGUAACUUCGGGAGAAGGCACGCUGAUAUGUAGGUGAAGCGACUUGCUCGUGGAGCUGAAAUCAGUCGAAGAUACCAGCUGGCUGCAACUGUUUAUUAAAAACACAGCACUGUGCAAACACGAAAGUGGACGUAUACGGUGUGACGCCUGCCCGGUGCCGGAAGGUUAAUUGAUGGGGUUAGCCGCAAGGCGAAGCUCUUGAUCGAAGCCCCGGUAAACGGCGGCCGUAACUAUAACGGUCCUAAGGUAGCGAAAUUCCUUGUCGGGUAAGUUCCGACCUGCACGAAUGGCGUAAUGAUGGCCAGGCUGUCUCCACCCGAGACUCAGUGAAAUUGAACUCGCUGUGAAGAUGCAGUGUACCCGCGGCAAGACGGAAAGACCCCGUGAACCUUUACUAUAGCUUGACACUGAACAUUGAGCCUUGAUGUGUAGGAUAGGUGGGAGGCUUUGAAGUGUGGACGCCAGUCUGCAUGGAGCCGACCUUGAAAUACCACCCUUUAAUGUUUGAUGUUCUAACGUUGACCCGUAAUCCGGGUUGCGGACAGUGUCUGGUGGGUAGUUUGACUGGGGCGGUCUCCUCCUAAAGAGUAACGGAGGAGCACGAAGGUUGGCUAAUCCUGGUCGGACAUCAGGAGGUUAGUGCAAUGGCAUAAGCCAGCUUGACUGCGAGCGUGACGGCGCGAGCAGGUGCGAAAGCAGGUCAUAGUGAUCCGGUGGUUCUGAAUGGAAGGGCCAUCGCUCAACGGAUAAAAGGUACUCCGGGGAUAACAGGCUGAUACCGCCCAAGAGUUCAUAUCGACGGCGGUGUUUGGCACCUCGAUGUCGGCUCAUCACAUCCUGGGGCUGAAGUAGGUCCCAAGGGUAUGGCUGUUCGCCAUUUAAAGUGGUACGCGAGCUGGGUUUAGAACGUCGUGAGACAGUUCGGUCCCUAUCUGCCGUGGGCGCUGGAGAACUGAGGGGGGCUGCUCCUAGUACGAGAGGACCGGAGUGGACGCAUCACUGGUGUUCGGGUUGUCAUGCCAAUGGCACUGCCCGGUAGCUAAAUGCGGAAGAGAUAAGUGCUGAAAGCAUCUAAGCACGAAACUUGCCCCGAGAUGAGUUCUCCCUGACUCCUUGAGAGUCCUGAAGGAACGUUGAAGACGACGACGUUGAUAGGCCGGGUGUGUAAGCGCAGCGAUGCGUUGAGCUAACCGGUACUAAUGAACCGUGAGGCUUAACCUU
rnacentral:rRNA from 1 species